GUAUUUCAUUGCAUUUAAGCUAUGUACAUUCGUUAAAUAAAUAAAGUGUAUGUAAAACAAGGGAAGACCUUCAAUCGCAAGCGAUCUACUAAUCUCCCUUGAAAGAUGCACAGGUGUAUAAAGGAUAUGAGGAUGAGCACUUGUAAAACCAGCUCAAUCCUCAAAGGUUCAUUAAUGAUCCUUCCGCAGGUUCACCUACGGAAA
rnacentral:misc_RNA from 1 species